GGGCAAGUGGUGGAAUGGCAUACACGCAGGACUUAAAAUCCUGUGACCGCAAGGUCGUGAGGGUUCGAUUCCCUCCUUGCCCA
rnacentral:tRNA from 1 species